GUGGGCUACGGAGACAUGCAUCCCGUUACCAUAGGGGGCAAAAUCGUGGGGUCCCUGUGCGCCAUCGCUGGAGUGUUAACUAUCGCCCUGCCGGUGCCGGUCAUCGUGUCCAAC
rfam:Scleropages formosus scaffold3011, whole genome shotgun sequence.